GAUGAAGAACGUAGCGAAAUGCGAUAAGUAAUGUGAAUUGCAUAAUUCAGUGAAUCAUCGAAUCUUUGAACGCACCUUGCGCCUUUUGGUAUUCCGAAAGGCACACCUGUUUGAGCGUCAUGAAUACCUCAAUCUCCAUCUUUUCUUCGGAUUGAUGGGUGACUUGGAUGUUGAGCCCUGCUGGUAUGCUAUAUCAGCUGGCUUUAAACUUAUUAGCCGGCUCUGUACUGGAUCGGUUUGACUCGACGUGAUAAUAUUAUCGUUGAGGAUGCAUGUCUCAUGCAGCCGGAAAGUAUCAAAGCAGCUUCUAGCUUGCCUUUAGUGCACUUUUACAUUUUAGACCUCAGAUCAGGUGGGACUACCCGCUGAACUUAAGCAUAUCAAUAAGCGGAGGA
rnacentral:misc_RNA from 1 species